UUGGGCUUCUUUCCCCUAUUGGCUGUAGUAUUAUUCUGACAGGGCCGUUGAUUCUUGUUUCUGGGGUAGUCCUUGGCAAAAUGCCCCUCGUUGUCGCAAGUGAAGCAGUGGUUACCAUUCGCAGGACACGACGGCAGCGAAAAGGUCGGCCAGGGCGCCUGCGGGUGGAAACCAGGGAAACGAGGUGCUGCCGGUGGCAGAGGGCGAGCAACCUAUCGUCCCGACUGCUGUGGCCU
rnacentral:lncRNA from 1 species